UUGAGUUACUUUCUAUUACGGUAUCUUUACUUUUACUCAAGAAAAUGAAAAUAAAACAGAAGAAGCAAACAAGGAUAAAACACAUUUGAAAGUGGAACUAAGAUAUUAUCCUUAUUCUGACACUACAUUUGAGUCAGGCAGACCAACCGGAAGCGUUUUUCUCAGAACCUCUUGUGUAUAUAUGCAACAACUAGCAACAGCAAAAUCUAAAAUAAUUUCGAGAUUUAUGACGUGAUGACUUCAGUUUAAAAUUAGAGUAAUGAAUCCUGUCAUUCUCAAAGCUAUGCAUUGCCCACUAAGAGCACAGAAGUCAUGGUCAUGCCGGAGCAAGGGACCGACCAAGAUGUAUGUAGACGCCAUCCUCAAGACCCAUGAGCGAAUUGUUCAGCACACAGAGACAGAUUACCAAGCCCGUUUCAACCUUGGCCAACAUCCAGAGCUAGAGGGACUGAUGGCACAGAUGACCUAGACCUGAGCCCUAGGACCAUGCCCCAGGACUACCUGACAUGAUGACUCCUUGCUGUCCCUAGUCCACCAGGCCGUGCUGCUGCUCCAGUUUCAACUGUUCUGCCUUAUUGUUAUUUGACCAUGCUGGUCAUUUAUGAACAUUUGAACAUCUUGGCCAUGUUCUGUUAUAAUCUCCACCCGGCACAGCCGGAAGAGGACUGGCCACCGCACAUAUGCUCUCUCUAAUUCUCUUUCUUUCUCUCUCUCUGAGGACCUGAGCCCUAGGACCAUGCCCCAGGACUACCUGACAUGAUGACUCCUUGCUGUCCCCAGUCCACCUGGCCGUGCUGCUGCUCCAGUUUCAACUGUUCUGCCUUAUUAUUAUUCGACCAUGCUGGUCAUUUAUGAACAUUUGAACAUCUUGGCCAUGUUCUGUUAUAAUUUCUACCCAGCACAGCCAGAAGAGGACUGGCCACCCCACAUAGCCUGGUUCCUCUCUAGGUUUCUUCCUAGGUUUUGGCCUUUCUAGGGAGUUUUUCCUAACCACCGUGCUUCUACACCUGCAUUGCUUGCUGUUUGGGGUUUUAGGCUGGGUUUCUGUACAGCACUUUGAGAUAUCAGCUGAUGUACGAAGGGCUAUAUAAAUAAAUUUGAUUUGAUUUGUUCACCCCACCCUUUUACCUCAACUGUCAUCAUACUUCUUCUGACAUCUACCGUUUCAUCUUUUUUUCAUCACGUUUUUUUUUAUAUAAAUUAAUUUUGGAUGAAUGUAGGACAUAUACUUUGCUGUUGUAGCUUCAA